rnacentral:rRNA from 1 species
CGGCUACCAUCGCUAAGGCGAGCAGCAGGCGCGCAACUUAUCCACUGUCCACUCGGACGAGAUAGUGACGAGAAAUAACAAGCCCGUUCUCUUUGAGGUCGGGCAUUGGAAUGGACCGAAUGUAAACGAUUCGGUGAGUACCCACGAGAGGGCAAGUCUGGUGCCAGCAGCCGCGGUAAUUCCAGCUCUCGUAAUGUAUAGAAUUAUUGUUGCGGUUAAAAAGUUCGUAGUUGGAUUUCAUACCGCCAGUGGGUCGUGCCUAACGGUGCGUACUCGCGGCGGUGUUUAUGCCGGGGCGGGCUUGCCUGCCCCAGCAUGGAUUACUUUGAACGGCUUAAGUGCUCAAGGCGGGUCUUCGGACUGAAUACCGGUGCAUGGAAUAAUGGAACAAGGUUUCGGCCGAGUUUUAUUGGUUUUGUCGGCUGAGACAAUGGUUAACAGGAACAGCUGGGGGCACUCGUAUCCCGGCGCGAGAGGUGAAAUUCGUGGACCGUCGGGAGACGCCCUAAAGCGAAGGCAUUUGCCAAGAGUGUUUUCAUUAAUCAAGAACGAAAGUCAGAGGUUCGAAGGCGAUUAGAUACCGCCCUAGUUCUGACCGUAAACGAUACCAACUAUCAAUCCGCCAGUAGCUUUUGGUUAUUGGCGGGCGGAUCGACGGAAACGAAAGUUUUUCGGUUCCGGGGGAAGUAUGGUUGCAAAGCUGAAACUUAAAGGAAUUGACGGAAGGGCACCACCAGGAGUGGAGCUUGCGGCUUAAUUUGACCCAACACGGGAAACCUCACCCGGCCAGUACAUCAUAAGGAUUGACAGAUUGAAAGCUCUUUCAUGAUUUGAUGAAUGGUGGUGCAUGGCCGUUCUUAGUUCGUGGCGUGAGUCGUCUGCUUAAUUGCGAUAACGAGCGAGACUCCGACUGUUAAAUAGCACCCGUUUCUUUUCGAGCGGGCGGCUUCUUAACUGGAUUCGCGGCUUCAAGCCGCAAGAAAUGGAGCAAUAACAGGUCUGUGAUGCCCUUAGAUGUUCGGGGCCGCACGCGUGCUACAAUGAUGGUAACAGCGUGAUUGUCCUCGCCCGACAGGGCUUGGCAAACAGUUGAGAUAUUAUUAUGGCUGGAAUUGAGUGUUGAAAUUUUCUCUCAUGAACGAGGAAUUCCAAGUAAAUGCGAGUCAUCAACUUGCAUUGAUUACGUCCCUGCCCUUUGUACACACCGCCCGUCGCUACCCGGGACUGAGUUGUUUCGAGAAAUCUACGGACCGGCCGCUUCUCGCAAGAGACCCGGCUGGAAAGUGAAUUAAUCGCAACGGCUUGAACCGGGUAAAAGUCGUAA